UGCAUAGGUCAUCAAGCCUGGUUUAUUUAAGUUCACUGAGCAUUAUAUUCGCAAUAUAUAAGCAUAUUACAACAAUUUACGAUUAACUAAGAAUAAUAGUCGACUUUAUAGUUGUUAAUAUUGUAUAAUAAGACAGCCUUAAUGACGUAUCCAGCCUAGAAAUCCGCCCUACGGAGGCUGCAGCCUUCGGGUAGAUAGAGAAACAGCCUCCUGUAGGUGUGUUCGACUUCAUGCAGCGCUGCGCAGACCGUUUAGCGUAUGACGUCACGGUACCGCGAGAGCAUCGUUCCGUGUUCAGUCAGAUAGUCGCGCGUCUUGUGCCACAUCAAUUUCCGGUUUAUUGAUAAAUUCCCACACAUAAGCUGUGCAGGACACGCAGAGAAUCAGCAGUAGCACCAGCGCUGCAGCCAAAGCCAAUGCUGAACUUUACGAGUGAGAACUUCUGUUCUGUCAAAGGCUUUGAACGGAGCGCUCCUCUAAUGCUUUAUAUGGAAGAGGCUCACACUCUGGGAAAGUUUUUUGGGUCUGACUCCACCCCGAUGUAUGUCAUCAGUAACCGUGAGGUCAGUAGCAGAACAUAAAUGACGGAGAUGUUGAUGGUGGAUUUGUUUGAAAAGAGACGGAGACGCAGUGAUCAUCCAUGACGUCUGCUAACGGAUCAAGUUUCAAUCUCCAUCCCAGUCAAUGCCAAGGUCCCGUCAACAAUGCGUUAGUUUCCAGUCCUGUUAACCCUCUUGAUUAAUGUGCAUCCUCCACGUGACCACCCUGACCUGACAGACACAAUCAUUUCAUGACCAUGGCUGCGAGCUCUCCUAUACUUCCACACAGGACCCCACAAAUUGAGACAAGUGAGGGUCAUUUCCUAAAGGAGGGCCGUGGAAUGCUGAACAGUUUUCCCUCCCUCCGAUCAGGAUCUGGGAGGCGGAGAGGGGGUCGUGCACACUUAAAGACAAGUCUGGAAUGCGGUCUGAAGUUUCAAACUAACGCCCAAGUCGUCUUUAUCAUCCGGGGCUAAUAAAAGAGUGAGCACAGUUCGUGUCAGAUGAGCCUGGGCACCGGUCGGCUGUCACUCUCUCCUCUGCUGAGCAGGCAGCCACAGACGUCAGUGCUGUCGUACAGCUUUAUAUUACAUAGACCCCUGCUGCGUCUCUAUUUCAGGGGUACUCUCGCUCUUACCAAAGGCCGGUCCAUAAUCAGUACUGAAGUGCAUAUAGAGAAGGUGACUCAUUAUAGUGGGUACCAGCGGUUAAACAACCUCCAUUAAAUCAGCCGAGCGAGUCCCUAUGGGGGCUACCGGUGAAUUGUAAGAAGAUAAUGUGUGCAGCUUAAUGCACAUAUGGAGAAAUGUACAGUAUUCGGACGUGCAUAAAAGUCUUUGUGGCUUGCUGAUGUUUACAUGAUGUCAAAAAGCUUUUUGGUUCUCUGUCAUUUGUGUUUUGUGUGUGU